GGGGAUUUAGCUCAGUUGGGAGAGCGCUUCCAUGGCAUGGAAGAGGUCACGGGUUCGAAUCCCGUAAUCUCCACCA
rnacentral:tRNA from 5 species